CUGGGAGCAGAAACGUCUAGCAGAAUGAAAGUCUAAUCCAAAGAUUCGUGUGCAGUGGGCAUCUGGACAUCAGUGUCCUCUCUGGAGGCAGAGCAGAGCACUGAUUAAUCAGAGGUGCCACAGGGAGGUUCUCCCACCAGGAACUAAGCCCCCUGCUGUGGAAGCUCAGAGUCCUACCCACUGGACCACUGGGAAUCCUCUCUUCACCAGUUUUUAAGUCACUUUCAUGUUAUGCAUCUAUACAGAUUGAAAGCAACCGAAUCACAGAGAAGAGCUGACAAGAGAGACGGAAGGGAAAGAUCACUUUGCUCCCCCUUUUGACCCACCAGCGCUGCUCAGUUAUUUGAGCCACUAAUCCUUCUUCCCUGAAGAUAGUUUAAAUUGGAUUUCUGACAUGACCUAAACUAUCUUUGCUAAUAUCUCUCUCUCUGUAUGCUGUAUCUAUCUUUUUCUGCUGUGUUUCAUAAGUCACAGAUCCAGUGAUUUUCCUCAUUAUUCAUAUUUGAGUGAGGAUAAGUCUAGAUCGGGCUUCCCUAGUGGUUCAGUGGUAAAGAAUUCGCCUUCCAGUGCAGAAGACAUGGGUU